GGACGGGUGGUCGAGUUGGUAAGACACCAGAUCAGUAUAUCCCUUGUCCGAUCACUUAUCCGAAAGGGUCGAAGGAUGGAGGGUUAUCGUUCAAUCUGGGGAACGCGGGUUCGAAUCCCGCCCCGUCCA
rnacentral:tRNA from 1 species